CAUGGUUUUUAGGGAGCCUCUCACUUCGGGCCACAUGACUUUUUUCUGCAGAAAUGGACUGAGGCUCUGCAGCUCUGGCAGGAAUCCCAUGGAGGAUGCGUGUCCUUCCCAGGUCCUCACACCAGGGCCAGUGAAGCCAGUGCGUCUUGGAUCUGAUGGCAACUUUGAUCUACUCCGUAAGGGACUUUCUCCUAUAAAAUGGCUGCUUCCUGCUGUAGCUCUGAUUAUCUCAUGGGUAGACAAUGAGCCUAUAAAUAGAUCAUUUCUAAUCAAGGUAUACAUGAUACGGUUGAUGUGUCGUGGCUAAUUAAAUUUACUAUAUGCCUUAUAUUUGUUAUUAUUAUGUAUGAUGAUGAUGAUGAUAGUUGAAACAAGUUCUCCAUAUGUGGCUCAGGCUGGCCUGUUCCAGAGUCUCUGCCUGCGUCUUCCAAGUGCUGAUUGCAGGCAUGGACUGACGUGCUCAGCUCAAAACUAAAACUUAAAAAGCUCUAUGUAUCUGAGGAAAGCUGUACCAUAAAGCGUAUUUGCUUGACAGUACGUGGCUUAUUUCUUAAAAUGGGACUGUAUCUGAUGGGGAACCUGCGAGCACCCCACAGACUGAAGGAAAGGGUUUAGAGCGGGUCACAGUGACGUGGCAUGGGGCCACACAGAUUCCCUCAUCGAGUGAGACAGUGAAGCUGUAGCCAGAGCCUUCCAGGGUGGCUCUGUUGACCCGAAGACAGAAAAACAAAUCUUCACGGAGAGAAGGCUAUUACAGCCUUCAGAAUGGGCAGGACAUCAAACCCUGUUUAACCCAUAAAGUUAACCUGGUUAACUUACAGCAAGGUGGUUAAAAGGGUCUUGUGCCCCAAGGCGAAUUCAAGUGUUUUCCUUUAAGAAAAAAGAAAGUAUACUUGUUCAAGAUUGUCAUUUGGAAGACAAAUGACUGUCGGAUGCACGUUUCUUGGCAGAAAGUGAAAAAUAACAAAACACUGGUAAUUUGUACUUUCAAGAGAAAGGUGCUUUGUUGUUUUUUGAAGUAACAAGGAAAAUCAGCAUCUUUUGGAAAGACAAAUGGGAAACUUCUAGAGACAGAUGGGCUAAAAAUUUUAUUGUGGCCCAGAAUAGCUUAAGUUAUUAUCAAAAUGCACUUGGCUGCAUUUUUUUUUUUUAAAAAGGCACUAAGGGCUGGAGAGAAGUGGGGCUUGCUGCCAAGCCUGAAGUACAGAGACCCCACAAACUGGCCAGAUCAUGUUCUUAAGGAAGAAGAGAGAGGAGGCAGUAUAGGGCAAGAGGAGAGUGCGGCUGACCAGGCCUCUAUACAGACUGGACAGAUGUGGACAGAGAAAACAGACUGGCCCUGUGUUGGCUUUCAUCUGGACUCCGGGCUCCUGGAUUGCUUUGCUUGGCUUUUGAGAAAGGGUGUCAAGUAGUUCAAGCUGGCCUUGAACUCACAAUGCAACUGAGGAUGACCUUGAGCCUCUGUCCCUCCUGUCCUUACCUCCUGAAUACCAGGCUAGUAGGCAAGCACUGUACCAACAGAGCCACACCCCCAACUGCCCAGCUGAAUGUGAAGCAAAGGGAGUCUCCGACACCAAAGUCCACGUGGAUUGUCUGCAGAUGGUUCGUCCCGUCAGUCCAAUGCAACCCGGUCUGUACAGAGGCCAGCUGCAGAGGAAGUGGUCAUCGAGUCACCUGCUUCAGAGAACAAGUGGAGGAGCUCACAACCCCUCACAUCCCCAGCAACUGGGGAAUGGCUGCGAUGGUGGUAGAGUCUGGCACAGAGCAGUCACUGGCUGCCCCUAACUACCAUUCCCGGUUCAGUACAGAGGCUUAAGUGCCAUGUGUAUUCUGCUGAAAACACAUCCCAGAAUUGCUCUGACUAGCUGCCUUUGUACUGCGAGGAUGGUGCUGCUGCCCUCUACUGGUAGAGGAAGACAUAGUCAGACCCCAGAGCCAAGACGCCAGCCAGCUUCACCGGGGUAGGACCAGCUUCCAGUGGACCCACAGCAGGCUAGGUGCAGAGGCUGUCUGCUAACAUCUGGGUCCUGAGGAAGACUGCCCAGCCUGGUGACUCUAAAGUGACAAUGUUGUUAAUGCUUCAAGCUAGCUCUAGGCAGGAUUUGCUUUUCCCUUCCCCUCACCAUUUUAAAUUUUUCUUUUCUUUCCUUUUUCUUUUUUUUACACUUAUUUUGUAUAUGUGAACAUGCACACACCACAGUGCGUGUGUAAUCUGGAGGACAACUUGUGGGAGUUAGUUCUGUCUACUACACGGGUCCUGAGUGAAAAAGCUCAGGUCGUCAGCAUGCACCUUUACCUACCGGGCCAUUUUGCUGGCCCACAUUUUUUUUUUUUUUUUUUGGUUUUUCGAGACAGGGUUUCUCUGUGUAGCUUUGCGCCUUUCCUGGAACUCACUUGGUAGUCCAGGCUGGCCUCGAACUCACAGAGAUCCACCUGCCUCUGCCUCCCGAGUGCUGGGAUUAAAGAAAGGCGUGCGCCACCACCGCCCGGCGCUGGCCCACAUUUUAAAUCUACUGAAAUACUUUAUUGGAUACGUGGGCUUAUAACGAUCUGAGAUGUAUUAAUUUGCUCUAUUGUGUGUUCAUCCUUAUUGGUCUGUUUGUAUUUCUGUGCAUUUCGGACACCUUUGUAGAAAGCCAUUCCAUUUUAUUUUACUUCAUAUACUGUAACGCUUCUAGGGAUAUGUUUGCUGUGCCGAUUUGAAUUACACUUAUUUCUGACUUGCUUUAUAUUAUGGUUUACUUUUGACAGCCUCUAUAUUUCCCAUAUUAGCCUUUUAUUAUCAGCUCAUAUUAAUUACCCAUGCCAUGGAUUUCGGGUGACAUUUUUAUACUUGUGGAGACGGCUCAGAUUAUAUUUUCUGAUUACCCAUGCUGUCCCUUCACUUCAGAGAAAGUGUCCCACAUUAACCCCUUCAAGCCCGGCUAUUUCCAUUCAGAGCGAGGCAUUCAGGAAUCAGUGCCGUUUAUGUCUUAGCCAGUAAGCGUUUAUAAGUGUAGCAUAUUUCUGUUUAGUUUUUUAGUGUAGACUAUUCCCACACAUCUAAAAAUUGCCUCAACCGCCCCAUACAUGGCAUGGACAUCAGGCCUUCUACGGUGACAGCACCUGGGAACUGCUUUCGGGGCAUCCAUGUUUCACAGGCUGCUCAAGCCAGCCUUGGCAGGAUGGGAGGCAGCUGCAGCCCCGCAUGCCUUCCCCUGGGUACUGGAGCUAUCGGUGGGUGUCUGGGCAGUCCAUGGCUGCCUCCACCGUCGUCAUGGUAAAUGGUCACACGGUGGCCUAAUAGGUGAAGGUGCCGGCCACCGGGCCUGAAAACCCAAGUCCCAUCCCCAAGAAGGCAGGAGAACCAAUUCCCUACGUUGUCCUCUGAUCUCCACACAUGUGCUGUGGCGUGUGUGUGUGCAUGUGCACACACAUAAAUGUAGAGCAGGAAGAGGAGGAGGAGGAAGGGGAGGAUGGGGAAAGGUGGGGAGAGGGAGGAGGAAGAGAAACAUGCCUUGUACCAGAAACUAGGAGCUUGAGUAGUUCAAGUACUUUCUCCUCAGGGAUUUUUCGUGACCCAUAUGGUCACAGCGAGCUGUACAACCAAGUCCCACGAGAACAUGCUUCCUACCAGCACAGAGUGACACCAUAUUGUUUUCCCACACACGUGGACUUGCCUCCUGUGUUCACAGGCUCCCAACCCACAGUCGUGACACUUCCUUAGUGUGAAUCAGCCCCUCAUGUACCCAGGAGAGAGGGGCCCAAGCUACCCUCUGGUGGGUACAGUCCGGGUGUCCUGAGCAGAGGCCAGGCUUCUUUCUUCAGAUCUCCUGGGUCUACAGGAGGCUACAUCCCGACCUCAGCUGUCAUUCAGUACAACUGGAUAUCCAAUGGCCUAACUGGAGCAUGGGGUAGACUGUGCCAGGCAGGCCCAUGGUCUUUACUCAGGGCAGUAAAGACCUGGAAGCCCGUCUCUCCCUCAGAGGGGACUUGGCAGAAGCCACAAGUGAUGCUGGACAACUGGGUCUGUGCCAAGUCAUUCUUCAUGAGAAUGAGGGUCAUCUCCAAGGGGUCACGGGCCUGGGAGCAAGGCACUCCCCCCCAUGACCCUUCAUCUCAGACUGUGUCACCUUGGUUUUGGUGACUGUGGGAGGGUGCAGGGCUGGAACUCAGUCUUAGGAAUAAGCCAGCUUUGUAUUAGUCACAGUGCAACCCUCGGCCUGGUUUUGGAUGUUCCAUUCCAGUCUUCAGUUUGCUGAUAGUGAAUCUGACUAACUCAUUUAAGGGGGGGGGGUCCCCUAUGGAUUAGCAGCUCCAGCAGGCUGUGUCUGGUUCAUGGUUGAAGGCUCAGCUGUCUUGGCACAGGGGCACCGUUUCCUGUCAGUCCUGGCAGACUUCCUCAUGAUGCAGAGCCCAAAGGCCCCACAGAGAGGGAUGGCACCUGACUGCAGCCCUGUCUGUCCACCCAGAGGUUCGCCUGCCUCAGUCCGUUCCUGCCAGCUUGUCCUCGUCUGGUGGACAAGCUCCUGUUACACACUCCGAUGGAGAGCCGCAUUCUGACUCCAGGCGGUUGCUUUCCUAAAUGGCUUUUCCCCAACUUGCAGCUACUUCCAGCUACUCUGCCAAAAGCAGCCAAGGAGGCUGGUGUUUAGAGCCAGCUGCUGGCAGAUGGGCUAAACAUCUGCCAAAAUGACAGCCUUGGCUGUCGGACUGGCUACUUAUACAGACGGUUUCAGCUAACUGUAAUGACUUCGUAGCCCAGGCUGGCUUUAAACUUGCAGUAAUUCAACUGCCGCAGGCUCCUGAAUUCUAGAUUUAAGCUUGUACUACCACACCUGGUUUGUGUAAAACGUCUCAAUAGUCCAUCCCCAGGGGGACUGAGGGCUUGAUUUGCUGGCACAGUCUUCAGGAUGCCUUUCACAUUCCUCUUCUGGAGACAAACUCAAAACCCUAGAAUAAGGAGUUGGUAUCACUGUCAUGUGCUGGUGAUGUGCUAUUUGACGCCAUGAUUCAUGAACCAUGCUUGCAAAAUUGGUUUUCAGUUACCUCGAACUAUCAGAAGAGCCAAGUCAGCCCACGAUGGUCAUGAAGACAUCUUCGAUGGAAACAGGACAGGUGCUCCCCAGCUAUAAUUUCUGUAAUGCUUCCGAGAACAUGGUAACUACAUUAACUAGGGGUCCUUGGCGGUGGUUCUGGACCAUAGGGGUCCCCCGAGUACAGGGCGGUGGUAGGAGGAAGCUGGGAAACCCAGCAGGGCUGUUCUGAUGUGACCUUUUUCUACUUUUAGAAUGUUAAGCGUAUGUGGCUUCAGACCUUUCCUUUUGAAUAAAAUGAAAACCCUG